CAGGGCGUUCCACGUGGUUGGUAACGCUAGAGGAGGCGUCCUGAGGUGUUUGGGGCCCACAGAGCCUGGUUUGAACUGGUGCUUCCUUGGGGUCGUGUCUCUGGGAACUAUCGCUAGGCGUUGUGGGGACUUGGUACCGAUUUUGGCAAGCCUUGAGCUCAACUUGUGGUGCCAGAGACCCAGAUACAUCGUGACUUUUAUGGUUGUGGGUACCUUGUCCUUUGCUUCUUCCGUGCCUCAGUUUGCUCAUUUGUGAUAUGGCAGAGAGCACAGUCCCUACCUGAGCACGUUGCAGAGCGUUCUGAAAUAGGCUGCGCGCCUACUGAUGGUUUUCUAGGGUGAGACCAGCCAGCCAGGGGAUGGAGGUAGGCUUCUAGUGACAGAAAUAAUAACAUUCAGUCGCCUGGGUACGAGCUCUGGGCUGCUUUCUUGUGAGUCCUCUGCCUUCCUGGUACACCUAGGAUGGCACGAGUGCACCCCUGGCCAUGGACCCAUCUUGCUUGGUACUGUGGCAGUUCCUGCUGUGACUGGACACUGCGUGAGAAGAAGACCAGUUACAAAGUCUGCACUUGCGGUGGUACUGCCAUGCUGUGACACAAGAUUGCUGAAGUGGAUGUUGAAAGGAAAUUCACCUCGUAGAUGCCUCGUUCGUGGCCUGGAAAGCAGUAGCUGCUCAGCAAAUGUUGCUUCCCUCCCUUCUGGUUCCUUUGUAGAACACAACUUAUAUCCCUUCUGGAGGACGUUUCAACCAGGUGCCAUCUUUGAAGCAGAGAUCAAGCCCUUACCAGACGCCAGAUCUGCUGGCACCUUGAUCUUGGACUUCCCAUCCUUCAGAGCUGCCAGUCCGUCCACCCAGGUUAUCAUCUGGGGAAGGGUCAUUCCUGUGUGAGGCCACAUGGUCAAGGAAGAGGCCCUGAAGCCUGCACUGGAGGGCGCCUGGCCUUCUCAGCAAGCAGUGGCCCCUGCCUGGUGUGCCAGUGUGGUUAGCACUGCAGGUGACCUUCGUUCUUUCCAGCUCUGUCGCCCUUUGGGAAGAUUUGUGGUCCUGCUGCCAGCCUGACAGAGGAGCAGUGAGCACUGGAUGGCAGGAAACAGACCCACCGCAUUCUACUCCUAACCAGAGUGCCCUGAUCUCCGCCUAGGAAGCCCCGGGCUCCACAGGAUGCUCACAGCCUAGCUCUCAACUUACUCAUCACCAUGUUACAGUCAUCAUCUUCGCAGGUUGCCAGGAUUCAGCUGGAAGCCCAUGCUUGGAAUCGUCAUACAGUUUCACUCAGGUAGAAGCAGGAGCUGGAGACAUUUGAAGGUCAGCUGGGGUGGAUGUCUGAAAUGAAUCAGUCGCAUGGUUAGCAACUGAUACUAGCCAUAUUUUCUGGAAAACCAGCUCCAGUAGCCACAGGUAGCCUCUCUGUGUGGCUCCCCACCAAGGCAGGACAGGUGGAUUCUGAAAGGGAGCACUCCUUGAAAAAUCUCCUGCGAGAUGCAGUUGCGAAGCUGCUUAUGAUCUAGCCCUGGACACUGCAGAAUGUCACUUCUGCCACAUUCCAUCAGUCAAGUAAGCCACUCAGGCCUCUGAGUUUCCAUGGUAGGACAGAUAGAUGCCACCGUUGGAUAAGCAUGAGCCAAACUUACGUUCUCUGUCCAAUAAUCUCGGUGGAAGACCUCCAGAAUGAUAGAGGGGGAAUAGAUGUAACUCCCAAGCCUACUAGAUUUCUGAAACGCGAACUCACGUUCUCUAAAGUCAAAGAAUGAAUUCUAGGAACAACGGAGGUUAAGAGUAGGAAACAUUUAUUGAGAGAAAGAGAGCUUGUGUCUAAGAGGGACAGAAGGGGGACCGGAAAGUGGAUUGCUCCUCACCUAUCUCUUCUUCCAAGGACACUGGUCCCAUUUAUGAGGUCUCCACCCUCAUGGCCCAAUCUCCCCAAAAGCUCCACCUCCAAACACCAUCACAUUAGGGGUUAGGGCUUCAGUAAUUGAGUUGCAGUAAGCGGGGCACGAACAUUCAGUCCAUUGCAGAUGGAGAUCUGGCUGACCCUCAGUAAGCAGAGGCAGCUUGACUUGGGUGUGAUAGGAAGGGUGGGGCCAUGUGGAGUUAGAUGAGCUCGCAAAGACCGCAGAGCCGGGCAGCAGGGAGGACCGGGACGGCGGGCCGCUGGGUCACAGAUGUGAGAGCAUGUGCAGAACCUAGGGGAGAGACAUUGCUCCGUGCAGACCCGAGUGCUCACGGGGUGGGCUGUGGACAUGGGCCACAGAGGUGGUGUCAAGGGCAGGAUGGAGUGUUUACCUUACUCAGGACAGGGCCUCCGUGCCUCAGUCUUGGCUGUGUUGACAUCUGGGCUGGGUCAUUCUUUGUCUUGGGUGCUGACCUGGUCAUUGCAGGACGCUUAUCAGCAGCGUCCCUGGCCACAGCCCACUGGACACAGUAGCACCCCUCCCAGCUUGGCUUCCAGAAUGUCUCCGGCUGAGCACCGCUGGUCUGAAGCCACACUAGGUCCGUGAGGCCCACACAGGGUUAGGCAGACUGUACAAAGGCCAACUAGUUAAGAUUUCAGGCUCUCGGGCCCAGGUGGUCUCUGUCACAGCUACUCUGCCAAGCCAUUGUAGUGGAAAAGUGGUCUUGGAUGAUUUAUAAACAAACGAGUUGGUGUGAUAAACCGAAAGGGUAAAUAAGGACCAAAAUGUAUGAUGCAUAUUGGGAAAUAGGAAGAAAAUGUUCCAAUGGGAAGAGGAACAGGUGGGGAGGGGGAGGAAGAGAAAAGAAGAAAAAAGAGAAUAGAAGGGGAAAAAAUGGAAACAAAGCUUUGUAAAUGAGGGGAAGAG